UACGUAGGGGGCAAGCGUUGUCCGGAAUCAUUGGGCGUAAAGCGCGUGUAGGCGGUUUGGUAAGUCCGCUCUGAAAGUCCGGGGCUCAACCCCGGGAGGCGGGUGGAUACUGUCAGACUAGAGUGCGGAAGAGGCGAGUGGAAUUCCCGGUGUAGCGGUGAAAUGCGCAGAUAUCGGGAGGAACACCAAUUGCGAAGGCAGCUCGCUGGGACGUUACUGACGCUGAGACGCGAAAGCGUGGGGAGCAAACAGG
rnacentral:misc_RNA from 1 species